UCCGGGUUGGACCCGGCGGUCCCGCCAGACAUGGUAACUGGCAGCGAGGGUUGCGCUCGUUGCGGGACUUAACCCAACAUCUCACGACACGAGCUGACGACAGCCAUGCAGCACCUGUCUCCGCGCCCCUUGCGGGGACCGCCCAUCUCUGGGCGUAGCACGGGAUGUCAAGGCCUGGUAAGGUUCUGCGCGUUGCGUCGAAUUAAAGAACAUGCUCCGCUGCUUGUGCGGGCCCCCGUCAAUUCUUUUGAGUUUUAGCCUUGCGGCCGUACUCCCCAGGCGGGGCGCUUAAUGCGUUAGCUGCGGCACGGAUCCCGUGGAAGGGAACCCACACCUAGCGCCCAACGUUUACGGCGUGGACUAC
rnacentral:misc_RNA from 1 species